AACGAACGCUGGCGGCAUGCCUAACACAUGCAAGUCGAACGAGAUCUUCGGGUCUAGUGGCGCACGGGUGCGUAACGCGUGGGAAUCUGCCCUUUGGUUCGGAAUAACAGUUGGAAACGACUGCUAAUACCGGAUGAUGACGAAGGUCCAAAGAUUUAUCGCCAGAGGAUGAGCCCGCGUAGGAUUAGCUAGUUGGUGUGGUAAAGGCGCGCCAAGGCGACGAUCCUUAGCUGGUCUGAGAGGAUGAUCAGCCACACUGGGACUGAGACACGGCCCAGACUCCUACGGGAGGCAGCAGUGGGGAAUAUUGGACAAUGGGCGAAAGCCUGGUCCAGCAAUGCCGCGUGAGUGAUGAAGGCCUUAGGGUUGUAAAGCUCUUUUACCCGGGAUGAUAAUGACAGUACCGGGAGAAUAAGCUCCGGCUAACUCCGUGCCAGCAGCCGCAGUAA
rnacentral:rRNA from 1 species